rnacentral:rRNA from 1 species
GGUUGAUCCUGCCAGUAGUCAUAUGCUUGUCUCAAAGAUUAAGCCAUGCAUGUCCAAGUAUAAGCUUUUAUACGGUGAAACUGCGAAUGGCUCAUUAAAACAGUUAUAGUUUAUUUGAUGGUCUCUUUUUACAUGGAUAACCAUGGUAAUUCUAUGGCUAAUACAUGCGCACUCGCCUCCUUCUCUGGAGGGGCUGUGUUUAUUAGAUACAAAACCAACCCACUUUGUGGAGUCAUGGUGAUUCAUAGUAACCGAACGGAUCGCAUUUGGCCUUUUGGCCCGCGAUGGAUCAU